GCCAUCAGCUGGUGCUGAAUAUGUUUAUUUUUCUGAUGUUAUUGAGGGUUUAGUUGUCAUAAAACGUUUAUGCUUCGUUAUUUAAUUCGCAGAUACUAUGAUACUUGAUAAAUAGGUUGGAGGAACAUUGUAUAAGGUUUUUGACACUCACCUAUAUAGCCGUGCCCGGCGACACACUCUGCUGCUGUGAGCCGUGGUGGUCGGGUGCGGUCAUUCCCGGUGGGGCUCAUCACGAGGCAUCUUGCUUGUAGCACUAUUGCAAGCUGCCUAGUGAAGGGCAUAACCGAGGUCUGAACUUGUCGUCGCCCGUCUUUCCUGUCUCCCUCUUCGCAUCACUCCUACAGCACAGUCGGAUUUCACCUACUAGAUGGUGUGCUUCUUUAAUGCUGUGCCAAAGUGUAUAAUCUGAGGAGUAGCAGAGUUAUUGCAGCCAUGGAGACACUGCUUGUGCAACUUGCAGAGCACCUACAAGAUGCUAAAAGUGAUGACAUCGUGGUGGCCCGCAUCACUGCACUGUCCAUCCUGCGCUACUGGCUGUACCCAAGACAACUGUGUGGUCGUCAAGUCAUUAUUUGUAUAAAACUAUCAAGGGUUGACCCAGCGGGUCGGUUCAUCACGCCAUGUGGCAAGAGAGAAGGGAAGCCAAGCACUAGGGAGGCAGCCCUUCAAGACGUUUGGUGACAACAGUAGAUCUAGUUGACGAUAAGUAUUGCCUUGCCAGAUUUUGGAAUUAAAAGAAUCACGAGUUUGAUGUGACAGGUUAGCUCUAUGAAAUAGGUAAGCAAAAAAAUAUUUUAUAACUCCUUGGCUUCUGGUUGAGGCCAAGUCUGUAAUGAAGUUUACGUGUUUACAUCCAGGCCCCGAUUCCAGGCAGCUAGUGCUCUGGGCAUGUAAGCUGCCCCCCUUCCUUUUCCAGUUUCUCCCAAACAUCAUAAAAUCUUACAAAAUUCAAGCUUAUUUAUUAUCAGUUUGAAACAGCAUGUUAUAAAACCAAAUAUUGAAGUUGUUCAAAUACAUAGGCUGUUUGUCUUUUUUCUUAUUUAAAUAUAAUAAAUGGUUGUAUGUAGUUUUGUACGGCUAUUAUAACUACCACAAUAAAACAUGUGUUUAUAUAUACUGUAUAUUGUUAAACAAGUUAUAAAUCUAUUUGUUAAAUAUUUGGUUUAAGACCUAAUAUUUUAAAGUGCACUGGAAUAGUAUAAACUAACAUUUCCCCUUGACAUGUAUUUUUAAAAAUCAAAUCAUUACUGUAUGUUACAAAAAACUAUUUUUCCCCUCCCUCAAAUGUUUUUAUCCUAUUUUAUUCGCACUUCAAAUUCUCCCACCUUCGUAAACUGGCGCUCUGGGUAAAUUCCCGUUCGGCCUAUUUGUCAAUUGGGGCCUGUGCAUAUUUUGAUGCUUCCAUUUUAAAAGGUAGUUAACAACUGAAGGUGUGGUCUUCUGGCUUAGUAUUCAUGAGGGUUAUUCACAGCAAGCUCUGAUUGGAUGAUAUUUUGGUUUAUCAAGUUGUCUACUUAGUUUGGUGCAGUAGCAUUGACGGUGGCUCAGUCUCGGAUGGUGAACACUCAUGGUUGUGGCUAAACAAGAAUUCUAGAUAUUAUUUAAUCCGCAUACAUUUUGUCUGGUGGUGAUAAUGGAAUGUUUUAACCUUUUUUGUGGCUGCUCUGAUUAAUUAUUGACUAAUUGGAAAUAUUUACAGAGUGGUAGUGUGUGAAUUGCAUGUCCUAUUUAACUGUAAUGCUUCACAAUGGCUGAGUGAUUUCUGUUGUACUUCAUGACUAAUGAAAAGUUGAGCACUUAAACUUUUUGACAGACAUUGACUCAGCCAAGGUGCCAAGAUUUGGUUACUUUCUCUGGCCAUGAAACUGUACAAUCUAAAUAAUUUGUAUUCAGUUAAACUUUCUAAGUCUAGUAGUAUUCUAACUAAAGAACAAAGACACACUUUAUAAAUAAUGAUUCUGUUAAAUGAAAAUUGAAGGUGAAAAUAGUAGUUAAUUUUUGUUGCACUCUAUUCUGACAUCUACCUGUGUAAUGUAUUUAUUGUACAAAUGGUUAGACACCAAGUCUAAAAAUAAUUAACUAUUUCCUUGUAAUAUUUUUGAACUGAUGGCUAACAUUGCUGUACAAAAAAUUAUUUUCCAGCUGCUAUAACUUCCCCAAUUUUUCACAUUCUCUAUCAGACCAAGUCUGAGCUUUGUUUUCUGUUUGAUUAAAGGAUAGCUAUGAGUCAUUAAAAAACUAGGUCACUAUCUGCUUUUCUGGCACAUAUCCACAGUUUUGAUGACAUAUCUUAACAUAUGAGGACUUCCUAAUGAUUUUUUUUAAUGUAAUACUAUAUUUGCUUUUCUAUAUUACUCUGGCAUUAACCAAUUUAAUAUUUUCUCUGAUUGACCGUGAAUACAUAUACAUGUGCAGUUAUUCAAAAGAAAGUUUUUGCUUGUUUCAAACGAGUCACUAUAUCACUAAACUCACUGUGGUUUGAACACUAGCAGCCAAGUGGAACGAGGUGUGUCAGUCUAGUCUAAAAGACUGCAUGUCAAACACCCUGAUCUACUGCUUUCACCUGUACUUUUGUUUGUUAGUCCCGGGGAAUGUUCUGACCAGGCGCAGCAACUUUUCAUAAUGCUGAUCUUCUCUCUCUGUGUACUGCUUGCUAUAAUUUGAGGCUCGAACUUUGAAGUACUCUUGUAUGAAAAUAUUUUAACUUCACUAUACAGGAGGAUGUCCCGUAACUCAAAAUCUAGCUGAGAACAGUCGAUAGGCCAGUAAAUUACAGUUUGAUCCAAAAAACCAAAAUUCAAAAAGUGUUGUAUUUUUUGAGUCCUAGACUUUUUUUUUUAAAUUUAUGAAUUCCCACCUGGCACCGAAUUAUUAGAUACUCAGACUAAAAAUUUUUGCUAUGCAAUCAUAACUAACCCAUCUAUUUAUAACAAUUCAAAAUAAACUCAAACAUGCUAUACUUUUAGGGGGAAAAAGUAUACAGCAGACUUUUGUGGCAAAAAACUUUUAAUCUGGUAAAUUUGAAUAAUCAUACUGUACAAAAAUUAAUUUGCUAACUUAGAAAGUUAUUUGAAAAGAUGGCUAAUUAAGGGUGCAGUUCAGUGACUAACAAUCACUACUAUAACAAAUCAUUUUCGUUUUGGUACAAUGUGAAUAAAACCUUUGAAAUCAACAGACCGACCACUUCACCCAGUCAGUAUAAGUAUCUGUAUAGCUGGGAACAGUGGUCAAUCGGUUCAGGAUCUUCAGAUGGGGAGGGUGUGUUUCUCCUGCCUCCUGGCUGGCUUUAGACACGCAAAGGCAGCCAGCCCUUCCCCUCCCUUGAAAUGUUCGGGUUCCACCCAUGCAUGCGCAGGACAGGGCUGAGAACAGCAGUGUUGCCAGUUCCGCUCGUCCCUUCCCCUUCUCCUUCAGCCAAGUCAAGCAUCUGCUCGAGAUGACAAUUCGCCGGAGAGCCGAGAAGAGUUUGACGGCCUGCUAGGAAAUACCUUCUCGCACACUCCGGAGUUUAGACAUUUUUUUAAAGACAUUACCAUGUUGUAUGCAAUAAUUGAGGUUAGUUAAUUAAUUUUCAAAAUAAAAGAAUGAUAAACAUUGUUAUGCACCAAUUUAUUUAAAAACAGUUUAAUAAAUUUUCACUGUAACACAUGAACCAUACAUGCUAAAACCAGAAGUUAAAGACAAUUGCAAUCAUCAUACCAUACUUUUUUAAUUUUCUCAAGGUAACAUAAUUUUUGGAUGCCUCAGAAGUCAGGGGUACAAAUCUGUAGGAUUCGCAAGGGACGGCCUGCAGAAAUCCGCAAAGGGGUGGUAGGGAGGAUGCACGUGGGUUUUAACCGACACAAGUCAUCUUUGGAUAAGGUGCUGUUAUGUGGUAUACUACCCGUAUUUUGGCCUAUAUGCAAAAAAUAAGCAGAAAACUUUUAAAAUAUACAGAAAGUGUUCCAUAAAACAUAUUUUUGGCAUUUACGUUUAUAAAUCCCGUUUCACAGUCUGGAUUUUGUAAGUGCAAGCAGGCUCCCUCAGUGAGGGGCUUCUUAAUUUCAGCAGGGGGCGGCACUUUCCUUCCCCAGGAUCUAUGCCCAUGCUUGAAGUUAUAUUUUAUUUAUAAUCCAUAUGCAAGAAGCCAAACAAUCGGAAAUACAAAGUCAGAACUAAUUAACAAAUAUUAAUGAGCAUAAAUGUGAGAUAUAAUCUAUAUUGUCACUUAGAUGCACUGAGUACAGUAGUAAAACGUAGAAUUAGAGGUAUGAAAAUUAAUUAUCUUUUCAGGUAAAUUUUACAUUUUUAAUACCUACCUAAAUCAUUAGAAAUGCUAAAGGUUUUCCCGGUCAAAAUCCACAAAGAACACGUAUAAUUAUACAUAAAAUUUUGUUAUUAUUUACAGGGGAGACAAAGAGAACAACAUUAACAACUUUAAUCACUUGGAAAUAUAUUUAUAUGCUUAAUGUCCGCAUUCAGCACUAUUAAAAGUAAUUGAAAAAUUCAUUAUUUGUGUUGGAAAAGUCUUAAUAUAUGGAAUGUCCCAGAACUCGAAGUCGAGCUGAGAAUAGUUGAUAAGCCAAUUUACAGUUCUGAAUCAAAAUGUGUGUCUAGUUUUUUUAGUUACACAUUUUUAAAAACAUUUAAAAAUCUCCAUGCAGCACCAUAUUAUUCAAUACAGUGAAUAAAAGGAUUUGUUAAGCAAUCAGUUUUUUUCUGCCCCAUUGUAAUACAAGUUUGAGCUUCAAGGCUUUUUUUUUAAGCUAAUUACACUUUACAACUUCCUAUGUGAAUAGCAAACAACAUGUUUUCUAAUAAAUAAAUAAAUUAAUUAAGCUCUCUAAAUUAGUAACUUUUUGCAACAUAAUGCUGUAAUUAUGCAUUACGUAAAUUUGCUAAAAUCAUACGUACUCUUAUCACCUACGUAUGUUUUCUGUAAAUCACUGCUUGAUACUCAUUCGUUUUUCUCUUCUCGUCAGCUGUAAACAGAACACAGGGUGUCUACUGACCCUGGAAAACCUGGAAAACCUGGAAAAAUCAGGGAAUAUUGUAAUCAGGGAAUAAUCAGGGAAAAAUCAGGGAAUUUUUUCAAAAAUCAGGGAAUUUUGUUUGGUAGGUUGUAGUUGGCAAUACUUUUUUGUUUAUUGAUCAGCUUGCAUUGACGUAGCAUCAAGUGUAUCCCCUCCCAUUAUUAUUUUUGAAUGGCAAAUAACGAACAGUUCCCAUGUCCAUUUUCUUUUAUUUACCAUCGGAUUCGGAAGUGGCGUUAAAUCACGUUAUGCAAACUGGUUCAAGCUGGUCUGUUAUCCUGCUGACGUGACGUUCUGUGACAUGUGCUCCCCGCGCUCGGAUUAUACAGACAGGUGCAUUUCAUUUUAAGUAAUUAUGGAUGCCCCCAACAUAAACUGGGCAUUUUUGUUAGCUUUGAAAAUACAUAUCACAGACACUUUUGGUGAAGAUUCGCCAUAGUUGCUAGAAAUUGGUAGCUGUGGGCUUCAUAAGGUCCAUGGUGCUUUCAAAACUGGAAUUUCUGCUACACAAUGGGACGUUGUUAGUGUUUUGAGGCACAGUUACUUUUUGUUUAAGCAUAUUCCUGCAAGGAGGGCAGACUAUAUUAGAAUAACUAGAUCAGAGCUUUUUCCCAAGAAAUUUUGUGCAAUCAGAUGGUUAGAAAAUACUGCAGUUGCUGAGCGUGCCAUGAAAACGUUACCCCACCUAAAGAUAUUUGUUAGUGAAGUUUAUAUUUCAUCUGUCUUUCAAUGUAGGUAGUGGAAAGUGCUCUUGAAGAUAAUUUUCUAGAAGUGAAAUUUACAUUUUUCCACUCUUUGGCAUCAGAGCUGUAAUUGUUUCUUACAAUGUUCCAAAGAAAUUUGUUAGUGAAGUUUCUAUUUCAUCUGUCUUUCAAAGUAGUGAAAAGUGCUCUUGAAGAUAAUCUUCUAGAAGUAAAAUUUACAUUCUUCCACUCUUUGUCAUCAGAGCUGGAAUUGUUUCUUACAAUGUUCCAAAGUGAAGCACCCAUGGCACCUUUUCUGUAUGAUUUACUGGUAGACAUUUUAUUAGCUUUGGCAGGAAAGUUUGUGAAACCAGAGGUACUGAAGAGCUUUAGGGAAAAACACAAUGUAUCUCAAUUGGAUGUAGAUAACCAGGAAAAUCUAUUUACUGCUAACAAUAUCAAGUUGGGUUAUGCAGUACGCCAUGCCAUCAAAAAAGAAAAAGUACCAGAAAAGUCUGUCCUGUUACUGAAAAAUGAUGUUAGGACUUGUCCAAAGGUUAUAGUAAAAAAACGUCAAGACAAAAGUCCCCUGAAUUACAAACUUACCAAAGGAAUUUCCUGCUUAUGUCCGUCUAUGGCUUUAAAUUCGGGUGUGAGGAAACAGCGUGUGAAGUACAGUUUAGAAUGUUGUCUUCGAAACAGGUGGCUAUCAGGACAAGAAGCUGAUAACAUUGAGUGAUCAUAUCAGUUGGUAUGUUCCUCGCAAGAUUCUGAAGCACUGUUCUCGUCUUUUUCUCGAGAAGAUGGGCGCCUUGAUCACUUGUGGAUGCUCAUUCUUAAGGCACAUACAGUAGUUUCCAAAACAGGCCUUCUAAAGUUUGUGAGGAUGAUGAUGGAAAUGCAUCAUUGGAAAGAGGAUUUUCAGUGAAUUCUAAUCUGCUGACUGAAAACUUGCAGGAAGAAACACUGAUUGCACAAAGACAAGUGUAUGACUUUGUUUAACGUUCUGGAGGUGUAGAGCAUGUUGAUAUCAUCAAGUCCAUGUUAUAGUAUGUAAGAAAUGCUAGUUGUAGGCGUAAGGAAGCCCUGCAAACAAAACAAAAAGAAAAGGAAGCUACAGACAAGAAGAAGGCAGAAAAAAGAAGAGUUGAAGAGGAGAUCAAGGUAUUGCAGUUUAAGAAGGUGCGAGUGUUGGAUUUGGCUUGUUCUGAAGCAAGUGCUAUAGACGCAAAAGUUGAGUCACUGCGAAAUUGACGGGAGCUUCUUUUUACUGAUGUUUUUGUAGCAGCAUGUUUUAUUUACCAUCAAUUGAGUCACUAUCCACGUCUAGAAGAAGGUAAUAUUUUUACUAAUUUAAGUAAGUUGAAAUACUUUGAAACUAGGGGUGUGCGGGAUCCCGACGCUUCGGGAAAAAAGUCGGGAAAAUAGGCUUCCCGAAAUGCCGGGCGGGAAUUUUAUUACUCCCGAAUUUUUCGGGAAAUUUUUUAAAAAUUUACAAAUGUUUACUAAUCAUGUGAAAAUGUUUUCUAUCAAUUCAAACUGUUUUUACAACAAUAUUAUUUAUGGAUUCAUACAUUUUUUAAGGGUUUCCGUACUAUUUAAACGCAAAACAUCUUUUAAAGGUAUGCCGAUCGUAGCAACAGCUAUGGUGUGCAGUGAAUUAUGAUAAUCGUUUACACAUAUCUAAUUGGAAUAUAAAAAACGUACAUGGAGUACCGUAAAUAUUGUAUGCGUUCAUAAAUAUAUUUCUUCAAUGGUACAAAUUUGCAAGAUACGUGAAUAGUCAGUUAUAUAACGUUAUUGCCGUCACCAUUGAAUACUUAACCUAAAACCACUGUCCUUAGACACAAACAAAACACAUGCGCAAUCCAAUCUUUUCGCCAAAGAUAUAAGAAAUACUAGACUUGCGUUUCUUAACGAAGCGUAACCGUUCUCAUUACUUGAUAGCAGUGGCGAUGUAGAGAACUGUAUUGGCACUUUGAAAAAUAUGAAAUCACGUAGUUUUACACCACUGCUCACGAGGAUCUAAACAUCUAUGAUUUUGCUAGGGGAAAAAAAAAAUAGUUGUUUACUGUUUAGUUUGGCGGGCUUUGUCGGCUGACGUUACGUUAUUAAGGCUUGUGCAAAGUAUCUGUUCCUAUAUUAAAACAAACUAGCAACCUACAAAUAAUGGAUGUCGCAACCGAUCAGCUUGUUACUUGUAAACCUAAAAGUGUUUGGAUGUAUUUUGAACGUCUGACAGUAAAUCCCUGGCAAAGUGUGUCUCGUGUGAAAAAAGUUUUGAGAUACGAGCAUGGUAGCACGUCUGGCUACAAAAAAAGAAUUUGAGGAUGCUAAAAAAUAUGAAGUCGCCGCUGAAAAAAGGGCAAGUGAAGCAGCAAAAAAAAAACUAACUUUGCAAGAAACGUUCAAAUGGCUAUAUUUUCAUAUUAUAAUUAAAAAUUUGCUUUUUUUUUUUCUUUUUUUCGAUCCCGUCCCGUUUCCCGCGGGAAUAAUUUAUUUUUCCCGAAAAUUUCCCGCAGUACAAAAACCUAUUCCCGCACACCCCUAUUUGAAACCCAUCAAUGUAUUGUUAUGCAGUUUUUUCAGUUUCGUGGAAUGUCGUAAUUGUGUUAAAGAAAACCUGGAAAAAAUUAAGUUUUAGACCUGGAAAACCUGGAAAAAUCAGGGAAUUUCAUUUACUAGAUCUGGUAGACACCCUGAGAACAGGGUUGCCACAGUGCAAUGUCGUCCGCUACCUGCACGCCACCCUUUGGUCAACAACAAGCGCAUUCUAGUAAGCGAAAACAGAAAUGUGGUUUAACAUAGAGGUGGGUCGAAAAGUAUCAACCUGAUACUUUGGCACUGAUACGCGCCUGUAUCAGGAACGGCAAACGAGUACACUUGAAAAGUAUCAGAGACUUUAGUAUCAGUUCAGAAUUCAGCUGGAACAACACCACGGCCAAUGAAUACAGUACCCGAUCGCAGAUGACGGUCACUUGGGCGGAGCUUGUGAAAGGGGAGGGAGCAGGAACGACGAAUAAGGGAUAAAGAAGGGAAAGAAUGUAGGGGAGGAAGCGUAGGGGAAGGCGUUGAAGCCUUGAAGGAGAGGCGCAAAGCGAUAUUGUUACAAGCAGGGCUGCCACUCAUGGGUUUUUCCACCCAGAUCUGGGUUUUUCCAAUGGUGUUUGGGUUUCUGGGUUUUUAAAUAAUGAAUUCCAACAAUUCUAGGUUUUUUAUAAUUUUAAUUAUUUUUAUACCUAAAACAAUAAUAAAGGUAGUAGCUACUGUAUCUGUUGCAAUAUCUGUUUGAUAAAUGCAAACAAGUCUAUGUGUUUCACACACAAAAAUACAUAUAAACACAAAACUAGUUUUCAAGAAGCUAAGUCGAAUAUUAAAUUAGACACAUUCUUCAAAGAGGCUUGCAGAACACAAAACCAAUGCAACAAUUAACCUUCAAACCAAUCUUGUAGAAUCAGACUCUGAAUAAAGACUAACGUACAUGAUGCAGUUUUAUAAAAACAAUUACCGGUUUAAAGGAUGCAGUGAUGGUGUUUGUUUUGUCAUGUAUAUAUUUGUAGGUUUUUUUAUGAUAUGUACUGGUCCAAGAAUUACUUAUACAGCCAUUUUGCUGCAGUGUAAUUUUCUUGUAUUGGUUGUAUUUAACCGUUUUCAGUCUUGUAAGGUAAUUAAUUAUAUUAAAACCAGUUAUGUUUAUAUUUUUGAAUUAGUACGCAAACAUUUUCAACGAUAGCAUUUUAGACGCAUCUGGGUUUUUUACCCAUGUGUCUGGGUUUUUUUGUAGGUUAUCUAGGUUUUUCAUGAAUAUCAGAGUGGCAGCCCUGGUUACAAGUCGUUUUGUUUAUUGUCCUACUUCAAAGUACGCUCAGUGCGCAGUGCGUGCACCGUCUCGUUCAAUAAUAAAACUAAUGAAAUUUUAAUAUUAAAAAGUACAUUAAUACAAGAUAUAAUAUUUAUAUUUGUGCACCUAACAGCUAUGAAAAUGCAAAUAAAUUCUCAGUUGACACUAAUAACAGAUGUAAUCAACAUAUGGACUUUCUUUUUUCGAAAACAAUUAGUAACUAGUGUUUUUAUACAUUAAAAAUUCACGAUUUUAUCAAAAAUAAAAAAUAAAAAAACAGAUAGGUACAUUAGUGAGCAUACUAUAUCAAUGUUUUUUCAAAUGUUUCUUCAGAUUAGUUGAUGAUUUAUAACUCAGUUUUUGUUUACACAAAUUACAAUUAGCAAACUCAUUAUUUUCCGUGAAAAAAUUCCACACAAAUGAAGUCUUUUUCGUGCACUUAUCCAUUCCUUAUUUCACUAUAAAUAUACUAACUACAAAGCAUGACAGCCCGCAACAAUGUACAUGGUGAUACACGGCCAGGACGAACUGCAGUGAAUGUUGAACUGAUUGAUACUGGCUGUAUCAGGCGGGCAUGAGAGUAACAGAGGUAGAGAAUUACCGGGCGUGAUAAAUAAUGUAUCAGAUUCUCCUUCCGGUCGCACGGUCUGCGUACGCGGAGCUUUGUUGCCUCCUGGGACCGUCUGAUACAGAAGUAUCAGAGACUUGUACCUAGGUACAUUACUGUAUCAGUAUCAGGAUGGGACUGAUACCGAAAAUUGCUGUCCCAACCCACCUCUAGUUUAACAUUGUGGCAUGCUGAAAACAGUUUUUUUUUAAACACUCCAAAAGAAACAGCCAUAAUAACGAAACACACAAAGCAUCUAAAUAAUCCGUAAAACUUGUUUUACCUCUAAGCUGACAAUUUUUGCAGUAUUUCUACUUUUUUGCAUUUAAAAAUGUCGAGUUUGUCAUCACGUGUAUUCGCUAUAGUAAAGAAAACAAUUAUUUUUUCUAUAAUGCAACAGUCUGAACUAAUUUUAUCUAUUGGAGCCUUUAGAGGAAAUACUUGAUAAAACUAAUGCAUUUAGCAUUUUUUACUAUCAUGCAUAAAUAAAAAGUUUUCUUUUAAUUAAUGACACUGAAAGCAAUUUUGGCUAAUAUUCUAGGUCCUUUUUUUUAGUGUAAAAAUUAUUUAAUUUAAUUAGUGUCAGCUUUAAUUGCAAGAGCAAAGAUAAGUCUUUAAACAAGCAACAAUAUAAUAUUUUAUGUUUUGAAAUGGAUUAAUAGUGAACUAUCGCAAUGAGACAAAAUUUUUAAAAUGCCUAAACUGUGCCCCGUGCCCUUUAAACUUGUGUGUGUGUUUGUAUAUAUCCUUCAGUGGUGUAAUACUUUUUUUUAUUUUUACAAUAAUUUUUAAGCGGUAAGAUAUAAUAUUUGUGGAUUUAUAUUGGUUAGUCCCAUAUACUUAAUAAUUUACUCUCCAGUUAAAAAUUUCUUUUCUGUGUUCAGGAAUGAGUGAUGUGUUGUAGCUUUACCUCGUACUACGGAAGGCAAUGACGGGCCACUGCAGUAUCAUCUCGCUUAGUACGCCAGAGUCACUCCGUUAUAUGCCAUUGCCAUCUCCUUGCAGUGAUGGCGGAGGAUCCCAACCAGCCUCCGAGCUGACAAACCCAUCAUCGUUUUCCUGGAAGACGGCUGCCCAAGAAACAAAGGAAAACUAUAUGGAGAACUAUGUCACAAGCACAAGCAAGGGUGUAUUCAAGGGGUGGUAAAGUGGGGCAAUUGCUGCCCCCUUCUGAAGUGGAGCAUAGAGCUGUAGAUGGAGAAAGUUUUUAACUAAUCCUCACAAACUAUUGUUAAAUAAUGUAGUUUGUUGUGGGAUUCACAACAGGACUUGGGGGGAGGGGGAAAAGGGACAUGGAACAAGUGACACUCAAAGCUAACAUCUGAGUCAAUUAUUUUUAUUAUUACGUAUAAGUAUUAUUAUCAUAAUAUUAUCAUUCAUGUUUACAAAAUGUUUAAAAGAUUUCCAAAACUUAUUAAUUGCAACUGUAAGGACCCAGGUUGAUUCUCUAGGAACCCACAUGAAAAGUAAACAUUAACAAAUAGAACAAAUAUAUUUGAAUAACACUAACUUGCUAGUUUGAAUAUUUACAAUAAUGCAAUUCUUAAACUAUUACUGGAAUUCUGUUCCAAAAAACAUAACACUGUUAGGCCUGGCCAAGUUUCAAGCCUAAAUCAACUACAGUUUCUCCUGCCAGGCCUUUCUCACUAAAGCACUGUCUUUUACUUUAGUUAGCUUAUGGCAUGUGCUCGCCCAUGUUAUUUCCAGGUCAUUGAUUGUUCAGUAACUUGCCUCAGGUCUCGAGCAGGUGAGCGUGUAAACACUCGCUAAUGCUGUACGUGAACUCGUCAUGAAUAAGGUAACAAUCCACCGUGUAGAAGGGUCCUUAGUGGCCAUGUUUACUAAAGCAUCACACUCAUGUGGCGAGGGUGGCAAGUUCAAUCCCAGUACCACAGCAUGACUUAAAUUUAAGGGCACCAAGGGGGUAUCCAAGUUGUUUGGAGUCCACUAUAAUCUUGGAGGUCCCAUUACUUGCUCACAGGUGAUUUAAAGGUCCUUGUGAAAAGGUUUAAAAAAGCUCAACAAUAUUCUCACAGAGCACGGCUGUGUGAAGGUAGGGGCGGGGGAAUAAAACCAAUGAAAACAAUGCCAUUAUUAACCAAACGUUCCGUUUCUUUGAGCAUCAGAUUGCACGUUUACCCAAAAAAUACACGGCCUGCUGAUACAGUAAACAUGCUUCUCAGUCCAGCGUAUUUCAAUUACAGAUGUUAUAUUCAAUAAAUAUUUUGAUGAAUUUUCCACUAUUACAAUGUUUGAUUACUUCCUGUUGUAGAGCAGCAUUCAACGACUAGCCGCAGUGGUGGCCCUAGACUUGCGGGGCCCUGGGCCCAUUUUCUUUUGAGGGGCGUUAUCGGGGGCCUGGCAAGGCGGAAGGAAUAGCCCCAGAGAAAAGGACGUUGGGGGCUCAACCCUGGAAAAUUAUGAAAAUUAAUUAUUUUUUUUUUAAAUAAAUUGUUAGCCAAUGUAGAACUUAAAUUACGAUUAUGGUUUUACUAAUUUGGCUUAAAAAAUUUUUAUAUUCUUUCCUGAUAAAUUAUACACAAGUAAGUUUUUAAAAAUGCUAACGAUCAAACUCUGUUGAAAUUGCAUCAUUACAUAAGAGAAUAACAUCUUUGAAAGUUUUUUGUAAUACAAAAUUAUAAAAAAACUUACUGAAAUUUAAAGGUGUUGAAAUUACAUAAUAGUUACAAUUUAAUUAAUUUUCCCAUAAAUUUCCAUUAUUUUUUACAGAAAACUUGACAAACCAGCAAAAUGAAAAUAAAACUGCCUGGCGUUGCCCUGGACAGUUGCCUGGCUUGCCCUGCCUGGAGCCAUCCGUGCUAGCCUGGUUAAUGAAAACCUGUCAUCCAUCCAUUAGUCACAUUACCAUUUACCUAUCAGUGAGAUAAAAAUUCUGUCCAAUUACCCAUCAACUUUUCGUAAAUCAACCAGUCAGUGAUGGGAUGAAAAAUUUAUUUCUGUGCAGCUAGCUUGGGUUCUCUACUUCAUAUUCCUUCCUAGGUUUUAUUAGUAGAUAUUCUGUUAUAUUGUAUAUUGUACUAUUUAUUUUGCAAUUAUGAUUUUCAUAUGUGUUAUAAUCAUAGCCUCUAAUAUAUUAUGGCUUAUUUUCAUUUUUUUUUUUACCUAAUUUCAAGUGGUUUAGCUAUGGUAUUGUUGUUUAUUGAAAAAAAGUUUAAAAAUGAAAGAUUUUGCAUUUUGCAAACAAAGUAUUUACUCUUUCUGAAUCAGACAUGUAUAUGAGGAGUUACUGAAUCUUAGAUAAUUUGUGCAUUUGGCCUUAUCAGUCAUCACUAAUCACAUGUGUAUAAUGUGCUCAACUGUUUCAGCCAGCCAGCCUCUAUGGAGUAGGGGUUGUCUGCAUACUUGACUUCUAAGAGGUCGUGGAUUCAAUUUUCAAGUCACCCUAUAAAUAAACCAACUGUGUUGCCAAGCAAGUUAAUUUCUUAGCGAACUGUUUAAUAAAACAAAUUAACAUCAGCUAGUUUUAACAAAAAAUUAUUUAUUCAGCACAUCAGACCGAGUUAAUAAAAUAUUCAAGAUUUGUAGGAACUGAAUGAUGCAAUAAGCAAAAGAUGCGUGGAAAUAAUCAGUUAAACAAAGUUAUUCAACUUUACAAAAAUUCAUCAAUUUGCCUAACAAAGAAAAAGAAA